rnacentral:rRNA from 1 species
AAAAGAACUUAGAGGUGAGAGUUCAACAGGGCGUAAAACCGCUUAGAAGCAAACGGAUGGUGCUGACAUUACUUCUAUCGGAUUCAACCAGUCUGACCGGUGACAGCCUGCUUACUGAUCGCAAGACAGUCUAGCGGGAUUUUUCAUUCUAAGACUGGUGCAUUUUCGGUAGAGUGCAUCAUGACCGAUGGUUGCGCUGGCAUAUGGACGAUUGGCUGCCGGCUGAAGGUUCUCGGACUUUCAGUGACCCACCUUUCGCUCCUGUCAACCGGGUUGCUUCCAUCGGGAACCUGUCGCGCCCGCAAUGCUCGUAUCCAGUUUCCUUUGGGCCGGUCGAACUGCAGAGUUGUGCUUGCACAGCCUUGCGACCCUCGGUCUUUUGCGUUAUUGGAUGACGAGAUGGCGUUUAAGGUCAAUGGUGUCCGCGUCAGUCUCCCAUCCGACCCGUCUUGAAACACGGACCAAGGAGUCUAACAUGUGCGCAAGUCAUGGGGUGUUAAACCCAAAGGCGUAAUGAAAGUAAAGGCCGCAAGGCCGAGGUGUGAUGUUCAGUUCGCUGGACCGCAACACCGUCCCAUCGCAUCGGCUUGUCCGGGCGGUGGAGAAAGAGCGUACACGUUGGGACCCGAAAGAUGGUGAACUAUGCCUGAGCAGGAUGAAGCCAGAGGAAACUCUGGUGGAGGUCCGUAGCGGUUCUGACGUGCAAAUCGAUCGUCAGACUUGGGUAUAGGGGCGAAAGACUAAUCGAACCAUCUAG